UGGGGAAUCUUGCGCAAUGGACGAAAGUCUGACGCAGCCAUGCCGCGUGGGCGACGAAGGCCUUCGGGUUGUAAAGCCCUGUUCGGUGGGACGAAGGGCCUGUGGAGUAACUGCCAUGGGAAUGACGGUACCAUCGAAGGAAGCACCGGCUAACUCCGUGCCAGCAGCCGCGGCAAUACGGAGGGUGCAAGCGUUGUUCGGAAUCACUGGGCGUAAAGCGCGUGUAGGCUGUUACGAAAGUUGGGUGUGAAAGCCCUCGGCUUAACCGAGGAAUUGCGCCCAAAACUACGCAACUGGAGUACGGGAGAGGGACGUGGAAUUCCUGGUGUAGAGGUGAAAUUCGUAGAUAUCAGGAGGAACACCGGUGGCGAAGGCGACGUCCUGGACCGAUACUGACGCUGAGACGCGAAAGCGUGGGGAGCAAACA
rnacentral:rRNA from 1 species